rnacentral:rRNA from 1 species
GUGAAUCAUCGAAUCUUUGAACGCACCUUGCGCUCCUUGGUAUUCCGAGGAGCAUGCCUGUUUGAGUGUCAUGAAAUUCUCAACCUUUCUAGUUUUUUGGCUAGUCAGGCUUUGGACUUUGGAAGUUUGCUGGCUCAACCCGUAAUCAAGCUCUUCUUAAAUACAUUAGCAAAGACAUUUGCUGACCAUCUUUGGUAUGAUAAUUAUCUAUAUCAUUGAUAACCAGCUCCCUUCACGGGGAGGUCUUGCUUCUAGCAGUCUUUAUAAGACAAUUUGACAAUCUUUGACCUCAAAUCAGGUAGGACUACCCGCUGAACUUAAGCAUAUCAAUAAGCGGAGG